GGAGUACGGCGCAAGGUUAAAACUCAAAUGAAUUGACGGGGGCCGCACAAGCGGUGGAGCAUGUGGUUUAAUUCGAUGCAACGCGAAGAACCUUACCUACUCUUGACAUCCAGAGAACUUUCCAGAGAUGGAUUGGUGCCUUCGGGAACUCUGAGACAGGUGCUGCAUGGCUGUCGUCAGCUCGUGUUGUGAAAUGUUGGGUUAAGUCCCGCAACGAGCGCAACCCUUAUCCUUUGUUGCCAGCGGUUCGGCCGGGAACUCAAAGGAGACUGCCAGUGAUAAACUGGAGGAAGGUGGGGAUGACGUCAAGUCAUCAUGGCCCUUACGAGUAGGGCUACACACGUGCUACAAUGGCAUAUACAAAGAGAAGCGACCUCGCGAGAGCAAGCGGACCUCAUAAAGUAUGUCGUAGUCCGGAUUGGAGUCUGCAACUCGACUCCAUGAAGUCGGAAUCGCUAGUAAUCGUAGAUCAGAAUGCUACGGUGAAUACGUUCCCGGGCCUUGUAUACACCGCCCGUCACACCAUGGGAGUGGGUUGCAAAAGAAGUAGGUAGCUUAACCUUCGGGAGGGCGCUUACCACUUUGUGAUUCAUGACUGGGGUGAAGUCGUAACAAGGUAACCAAGGGCGAAUUCUG
rnacentral:rRNA from 1 species